rnacentral:rRNA from 1 species
GAUUUGAUCAUGGCUCAGAUUGAACGCUGGCGGCAGGCCUAACACAUGCAAGUCGAACGGCAGCACAGUGGUAGCAAUACCAUGGGUGGCGAGUGGCGGACGGGUGAGGAAUACAUCGGAAUCUACCUUUUCGUGGGGGAUAACGUAGGGAAACUUACGCUAAUACCGCAUACGACCUUAGGGUGAAAGCGGAGGACCUUCGGGCUUCGCGCGGAUAGAUGAGCCGAUGUCGGAUUAGCUAGUUGGCGGGGUAAAGGCCCACCAAGGCAACGAUCCGUAGCUGGUCUGAGAGGAUGAUCAGCCACACUGGAACUGAGACACGGUCCAGACUCCUACGGGAGGCAGCAGUGGGAAUAUUGGACAAUGGGCGCAAGCCUGAUCCAGCCAUGCCGCGUGGGUGAAGAAGGCCUUCGGGUUGUAAAGGACGUGUCGUUGAGGCUAAGGCGGGGACCUCGAGUCCCUAAUAAAUUGAGUCGUAUGUUCGCGUUAAUGGCUUUGUACCC